CACCGAAACAUAAAUGCAAUGAUACAAUCUCUCUCGCACUGCAUCUAACAAGCCUAUCGGAGGAUCGCCAGAUAAUUAAACAUUCACAUGGUAAACCCUGUUUCUCAAGAAAUGCCGACAGUCUUUCCCAGCAACCAUAGAACUAGAGCUAACUCAACGCCGAAAAUGGAGUGCAGUGUACUCCGAUCCAGUGUGAAGCCGUAUACUGUAAUCCCAGCUCUAUUGUUCUCAAAAUAUGUCACUAGAGCUUGUCUCUUCUGGAAUGAGAUGGUACUAUAUGCAUAUGCAGGAA
rnacentral:misc_RNA from 1 species